rfam:Triticum urartu cultivar G1812 contig170199, whole genome shotgun sequence.
AAAGUACUCCCUCCGUCCCAAAAUUCUUGUCUUAGAUUUGUCUAGAUACGGAUGUAUCCGUACAUCCGUAUCUAGACAAAUCUAAUAUAAGAAAUUUGAGACAGAGGGAGUAGUUG